UAGGCGGGAGCUUGAUUAAAGCAUUUGGCCGUUAACCAAAAGGAUGCAGGAUAAAAACCUGUCCGUUUAG
rnacentral:tRNA from 1 species